CAGGAUUCCCUUAGUAACGGCGAGUGAAACGGGAGAAGCCCAUCCCUGAAUCCCGCGGUCGUAUGAUCGUUGGGAACUGUAGGGUUUGGGAGUGCCUCUGAGGCGCUUGCGUUGUUGUCCAGGUUCUCCUGAUUGAGGCUUGACCCAUAGCGGGUGUAAGGCCCAUACGGCAACACGCAGCGUCGCUCUGGCGCUCCUCGGAGUCGGGUUGUUUGAGAAUGCAACCCAAAGUGGGUGGUAAACUCCAUCUAAGGCUAAAUACUGGCACGAGUCCGAUAGCAAACAAGUACCGUGAGGGAAAGUUGAAAAGCACUUUGAAGAGAGAGUUGGACAGUACGUGAAACCGCUUACAGGUAAACGGAUGGGACCGCAAAGUCGGCCACCGGUAUUCAACUCGUCCGUGUCGACCGUGGUAUGCGCCGCUAGAGUCCUUGUGGCCUAUGCGCUGCCAGUGAGCGUCGACACGGGCGGAUGCACUUACCGGUGCGUUGAGCGCUACAACAGCGUGUCGGGCAGUCAGAAGCACCUCUGCAAUGUAGCUCGCACCUUCGGGUGCGAGAACUUAUAGGUAGGGGAAAGCGACGACCUGCUCGGUGCGUGAGGGGCUCGGGCCGCUUGCAAAGGCCCCGGUCGCUCUACUGGUGGCAACUGGCGAGGACUGCAUGCAGUGCUCUGUCCGACCGUCACUGUGGAGGUCAGGCUGGGUGUCCGGAGUGAGUGUGUUUAGGGUUCGUAGCGAAUCUGUCGGCACCCCAUCCGACCCGUCUUGAAACACGGACCAAGGAGUCUAGCAUGUGCGCAAGUCAAAGGGACGUACGAAUCCCCACGGCGCAAUAAACAUAAAGGAUUGGCUUCGGUCGAUCUUAGGUGUGAUCCCGGGACUUCCAUAUCCUGGGCGCAACACCGGCCUGUCUCGUAGCCUUCGUGCUUGAGGCGGAGCUUGAGCGUACAUGCUGGGACCCGAAAGGUGGCGAACUAUGCUUGAGUAGGAUGAAGCCAGAGAA
rnacentral:rRNA from 1 species